rnacentral:lncRNA from 1 species
UAAAUUACAAAAGCAUACAUUUAAAGCAUAAAUUUAAAGCCGUCACACUGUCGAAAAUUGACUAAAACUAGUUACUGAUCGUUUAUUAAGUUUAGAAAUAGUAACAGAUUAGUUAUUAGUUUAUGAGCCUUCUCAUGAAAUUUCCUGAAUAAUUUCAGGUCUUUAAAAGAGUAUCGUUGUCAGGUUUUCAAAACGAAGUUCUGACGUAACCUCUGUCAUCCUGAUUUAGACCGCCGUCUGAAGGUUAACAUUCAUGGCGUUGUAUUUCAAGGGCUUCCCUCACUUUUCUGAAGAAGUAAAAAGACUCUGAAUAACAAAGAAUUACAGUGGGAAAUGCAUGAUUGUUUGAAAUAGUUACUUAAUGCCAAGGUUGAAAUAUGCAAAAUUAUAUGAUAAAGAAUUUAGAAGAAGUAAAAAGACUCUGAAUAACAAAGAAUUACAGUGGGAAAUGCAUGAUUGUUUGAAAUAGUUACUUAAUGCCAAGGUUGAAAUAUGCAAAGUAUGUGAUGAAGAACAGCAAUGAAUAAAAGCCUCGUAAUAACAAGCAAUCAUAAUGGUGGAAUGCAUAAUUAUUUGAAAUACCUUAAAAUAUGAUUUUAUAUGUGUGAAGUUAUGAAAAAGCCGAAUCAGUUUGAAAACAUAUUAGAAUAAAAACAUAGCAAAAUAAGUAAUGCUCUCACAACAUGUGGCCAAUUAAAAACAAAAUGAUCUUAGGAAGCAAGGAAUCGUGACAUUUCAAAUAAGUUAAAAGAUCAUAAAAUAUUCUUUACAGACAAUUAGAUAAAAGAAUUAUAUGAUAAAGAAUUUAGAAGAAGUAAAAAGACUAUGAAUAACAAAGAAUUACAGUGGGAAAUACAUGAUUGUUUGAAAUAGUUACUUAAUGCCUAGGUUGAAAUAUGCAAAUAUCUGCAGGAAAAGCCAAGAUGGAAAAAAAAGUUCUCUGAGCACAAAGAAACAAGUGCUCCAAGAAGACCUAACAAUCAUGUCACAUAGUGCCGCGGAAUAACAUUAAACCAGGAAGUUCACGCUACCUUUCAUAGCAGUAUCGCUUUUAUGCCUAGAGCCAGCAUCGAAUCAUUGUGCCACAGCUGUUAAUAAAUAUAAUUAUUUUAAUAGAUUUUUUUUCUAAUAAUUGCUUAUAAACAAUGCUAAUUUGAGCCAAGAAAACUUAUUUGUGAAGAAAUUAUUAAAUUAAAUAAUACAAACAACUUAAAAUGUUUAAAGUAUGAUUUUACAAUA